rnacentral:lncRNA from 1 species
UCCACCUGCAGCCCCAAUGCGAGAUCCACGGGGUGAAGCCAGCUGGGCUCCUGAGUCUGGUGGGAACUUGAAGAACGUUUAUGCCUAGAUACACAGAUGAAGAUGACAUCUAUGGAAUCUUUUCCUUGCAAUUGAUGCAUUCUUUAGUCCAGUAAUAUCAUCUCACUUUGUAUCCAAGAGAUCCUCUCUGUUCAUGUAGAAUUCAGCCAAACACUACAAUGGAUGUGGAAUAAAUGAGCAACAAAUAUUGAAUUAAUAAAUAAACAUCGCACUUUCUGAUGAGGCUGGAGGCUCUCACUUGAUAGCAGAGGAUAAAGAGAAGAAGAAAAGCAGGAACUACUUUCGGCUGGUAAGCAGAUCUUACAGUACAGUAGUUAAGCAUAUAAUGUUUGGAGCCUGACUGAUAUAGGCACAAAUCUCAAGUCCACAACUAUGUGAACGUUGGUAAGUUGCUAAACAUUGUUAAGCCAU